GUUUUAAAACAUGAAACCGCGGAAAGCUCAUUAUAACAGCUAUAGACUACACGGUAAAUAUUUUAGUUGGAUAACUGAGGUAAUUCUUGAGCUAAUACACGCUAUUUAUACCACAUUAGUGGUGCGUUUAUUUGAUUAAACCAUUUUAUAUUGGUUGACUCAAAAUAUCCUCGCUGAUUUUGUUACUAAAACAUACCGUAUGUGUAUCUGGUUUAUCAACUUUCGAUGGUAGGGUAUUGGCCUACCAUGGUUGUGACGGAUAACGGAGAAUUAGGGUUCGACUCCGGAGAGGGAGCCUGAGAAACGGCUACCACAUCCAAGGAAGGCAGCAGGCGCGAAAAUUACCCAAUUUUAGUUAAAAGAGGUAGUGACGAAAAAUGACAACCAAAUAUUAUUAUUAAUAUUUGGAUUGAAAAUCUUCAAGUUUAAAUAACUUGUUGGUAAAGGAAAGGGCAAGUCUGGUGCCAGCAGCCGCGGUAAUACCAGCUUUCCAAGUGCAUAAAAUGAUUGUUGUGGUUAAAAAGCUCGUAGUUGGAUUAUAAAGAUUGUAUAAUGAGCAUCUUGGAUGUUAUUUAAUCAUUAUCAUCUUAUAUUUUUAUUAUAUUAGAAAUAAUAUAAUAACUGUUACUUUGAAUAAAUCAGAGGGUUUAAACCAGACAUUAUAUGUUUGUAUGGUCUAGCAUGGAAUAACACUAUAGAAAAAUUUAGUGUGGUUUCACUUAAUUUUUCAUGAUUAAUAGGAACAAACGGGGGCAUUCGUAUCGCUACGUUAGAGGUGAAAUUCUUGGACCGUAGCGAGACGUCCUACUGCGAAAGCAUUUGCCAAGAAUGUUUUCAUUAAUCAAGAACGAAAGUUAGAGGUUCGAAGGCGAUCAGAUACCGCCCUAGUUCUAACCGUAAACUAUGCCUACUAGAUGUAUGAAUUAUUAGUUAUAAUAAUUUAUGCAUCUUCUCGGAAACGAAAGUCUUUCGGUUCCGGGGGAAGUAUGGUUGCAAAGCUGAAACUUAAAGGAAUUGACGGAAGGGCACCACCAGGAGUGGAGCCUGCGGCUUAAUUUGACUCAACACGGGAAAACUCACCCGGGCCGGACACUAUAAGGAUUGACAGAUUGAUAGCUCUUUCAUGAUUUAGUGGUUGGUGGUGCAUGGCCGUUCUUAGUUCGUGGAU
rnacentral:rRNA from 1 species